UAUGUGAUCGUCUCUCGCAUAUCAAUAAGCGGAGGAAAAGAAACUAACAAGGAUUCCCCUAGUAACGGCGAGUGAAGCGGGAAGAGCUCAAAUUUGAAAUCUUAAAGGGUUUCCCUUUACGAAUUGUAGUUUAAAGAAGUGUUUUCUGUUGAGGUUUUGGUAAAAGUUCUUUGGAAUAGGACAUCAUAGAGGGUGAGAAUCCCGUAUUUGACCUUUACUUUCAACUUUGUGAUACACUUUCAAAGAGUCGGAUUGUUUGGGAAUGCAGGUCCAAAAUGGGUGGUAAAUUUCAUCUAAAGCUAAAUAUUGGCGAGAGAUCCGAUAGCGAACAAGUACCGUGAGGGAAAGAUGAAAAGAACUUUGAAAAGAGAGUUAAACAGUACGUGAAAUUGUCAAAAGGGAAGCGUUUGACACCAGUGUUGUUUUUCUGAAAAUCAAUUAAAGAACUGUUUAUGCUAAGCUUGUUUAGACUUUAUCAGCUAUCUGUUUAGUUUUAGGCUUUUCUUUAAUGCACUUUUCAGUUAACAAGUCAACAUCAAUUUCUUUUGCUGUAAAAAAGCUUGAGGAAGGUGGCUUGAGAUUCGUCUUAAGUGUUUAUAGCCUCUUGCCUAUGCAGUCGGAGAGAUUGAGGUCUGCAGCGUAGAUCCUUCGGGGCUAAAUGCAUUUGUGCUAAGUUAUAGCAUUUUAUAGACAACUUGUUGACUAUGAUUUGUCUUGUAGCUUACUCGCUUAUGUUAUUUUACCUACGCUUAGGAUGUUGAUCUACAGAGCGAGAGU
rnacentral:rRNA from 1 species